UACGAAGGGGGCUAGCGUUGCUCGGAAUCACUGGGCGUAAAGCGCACGUAGGCGGAUUGUUAAGUCAGGGGUGAAAUCCUGGAGCUCAACUCCAGAACUGCCUUUGAUACUGGCGAUCUUGAGUCCGGGAGAGGUGAGUGGAACUGCGAGUGUAGAGGUGAAAUUCGUAGAUAUUCGCAAGAACACCAGUGGCGAAGGCGGCUCACUGGCCCGGUACUGACGCUGAGGUGCGGAAAGCGUGGGGAGCAAAGCAGG
rnacentral:rRNA from 1 species